GUGAGCACUCCUUUGGAAAAGACAAAGUCCUUCCUCCAGUGUGUGGAGUCUGAAAGCAAUCUGGACCUCUGCAGAUGUGAAAAGUGAAGAGGAAAAUGACUCAUUCAGAUCUGGACCUCAGUGAAAGGAUGGAGUGUGAUGAAGGAGUCCUUUGGAACACAGGUUCAUUUAUGCAGCCCUGGUCUGUGUGAGUCAGACAAGUGAGAGACUUACAGCAAAACAAGAUCUCCAGGCCUCUCCUGCUGAAUGUCCAUGAGACACCAAUGGCUUUUGGUACUUGCACAUUCUGUGCCUGCAUCCUCAUCCAGUGCAAGACAAGCACAAGAAGCACUCUGACUAUAUUUGCUGUGAGCUUCAGCCUCUCAAGAACAUCACGAUACUGUUUGUAAGUGGCCACCUUUCUUCUACUCAGCCAAGAUCUCACAACCCAGACAGAAAGUUGAACUGGACAAAAAAAAAGGAGCAAUGCUGCUAUGAAGUUGCAGUACAACAGCUUAAAAGGAAAUUGCAAAAUUAGCAAGGGGAAAAUCGUUCCAUGGGUCUGAAGAGGAGGCAUUUAUGAAAAAAGACACUUUCAAAUACAGUCAGAUGUGCAACAACUCCCACAUGCAGAAGAGGAAUUCAUCUUCAGCAGGCAAUUAACAGGGGCCAAUAAGUUGCAAAGAGUGAU
rnacentral:lncRNA from 1 species